ensembl:lncRNA
GGGGGUGUAUAGAAGGAAAUGAAGAAAAAAGAUUGUGUUUGUGGGGAGCGAACAGCUAGGUCUUGGUGGGUCUAUGGAGCAAUAGGGAAUUGCCACCCCAGUGCACUUUGAACACCAUAGCAGUCCAGCGCAACUUGCCAAUGGCAAUUCUUUCAUUUGAAAACGUUUUUACAGCCCACCGUGAGCUGGUGUACUGAACAGUAAGGAGUUCAAAAUGAGUGGAUGAAGCUGACCCCAAGCAUAACACAGAUGAGGACAGGACCUCUGCUGCUCUGCGUGAGUAUGAGUGUGUGUGUGUGUGUGUGUGUGUGUGUGUGUGUGUGUGUGUGUGUGUGUGUGUGUGUGUGUGUGUGUGUGCGUGUGAAUGGUAGUGUGUGUUUCUUUGUGUUUGUGUGUUUUUGUGUGUUUUUUUGUGUGUGUAUGUGUGUGUGUGUGUGUGUGUGUGUGUGUGUGUGUGUGUGUGUGUGUGUGUGUGUGUGUGUGUGUGUGUGUGUGUGUGUGUGUGUGAAUAGGUGAGUGUGAAUAGUUCUGUGUUUGUCUGUGCGGGCGGUUGUGAAUAUGUGAAGGUGUGUGUGCGUGUGCGUGGGUGUGUCUGAAUAGUUGUAUGUGUUUAUGUGUUUGAGAUUAUUGGCAGAGGGUAGCAGACCUUUGUAAGAUACUUUUUUGUGCAAGAACUGAAAAACCCAUUAUGAUAAACAGGGGUUAGACGGGUAAGAUAGUGGAUAAACUACCAUAUCCAGUAGCCACUCUUCUAAAGGAGUAUUUAAAUAAACUAAUAGAUGACCGCCUCAGUGUACACACAACCCCCGCACCACCACUUCUACCACCACUGAAACCUCCGUAACCUUCAAAAAAUAGGCGUUGAGUUAUGGAAUUGAAGCACCAUUAUCAGGGUGGAGUUGGAACCUUGCUAAAACCUAUAUUCUCUCAGUGUGUGAAAUAUAAACAGUAAUGGAUGGUUACGGUGACGCACGCCGUCAACAGUUAGACUGCAAGGCCAGGUGUCACUCUGGUCUGGCUUUGUGAAUGUACCUGAGAGGCUGGAGUAACCCUACUUUUACCUUGGCUAACUGGCAGAGAUAAUUGAAAAAGUCGAUUUACGUGACAACCCUGCCUUGCACAUGAAGUUCUUCUGGGCUUUAGUGCAAAAAUUGACAUGAUGUGAAUGAAGGACAAACCUGCUCUAAGUUUUUAGAGCAAACCUAUUCAAACACGAAGUUCAGCAGGCACAAGCAUUCACCCCACACAGGCCCGGUUCCAGAACAGAAUGCCUUGGGGUGCAUCUGAGAUUACAGGGGGUGCACCAGUACUAUACUAAAACCAGCUACCCAGCUUCAGUUCAGACUUCGCUUUUUUACACACAGGCCUUUCUACCAUAGACAAGCACUUCUGCGUAGUUCUACUGACAUGUUGGGACAACAAUCAUUUACUGUGCUUAAAAGAUGGUAUCAUAUCAUGUCUUGUGAUGUGGAGAACAUUUCAGCUGCAACAUUAGCUUAUUGAUAUCUUAGAUAGCUUUGAAUAUGAGAUAGGUUUUUGAUAUGUGUGAUGUGUGAGGUGUAAAAAAGAACCGAAUUCUCAAAAAAAAACAUGUGACUGCAAUUCAAAUAUAACGUUUAUUUUUUAUAAAUUGUGGCAGGAUAUUUCGAGUGUGUUAUUGCUUUAUACAACAGUUAUACUAGUAAAUGUACUGUUAAUAAUAAUGAUUGAUAAUAGAUUGUGAUUUGUUUGUUUAUUUAAUCAUAUAAACGAAUAAAAUUGCUUCCAGCAACAAAAAUAGAUCCCCAUUCCCCACUGAGCGGACUGUUGCCAAGCAACAUAUAAACAAAACACCAUACAUAAAUGCGGAGAUAUUUUGUCAGUUUGGUGAACAGUCAGAGUGAUGUUG